UACGGAGGGUGCAAGCGUUGCUCGGAAUUACUGGGCGUAAAGGGCGUGUAGGCGGUUUCGUAUGUCUGGCGUGAAAGCCCCGGGCUCACCUCGGGAAGUGCGUCGGAAACUGCGAGACUAGAGUCCCGGAGAGGGAGGUGGAAUUCCAGGUGUAGCGGUGAAAUGCGUAGAUAUCGGAAGGAACAUCAGCGGCGAAAGCGACUUCCUGGACCAGUACCGACGUUCAGGCACGAAAGCGUGGGGAGCAAACAGG
rnacentral:rRNA from 1 species